GACGAACGCUGGCGGCGUGCUUAACACAUGCAAGUCGAACGGAAAGGCCUCUUUCGGGGGGUACUCGAGUGGCGAACGGGUGAGUAACACGUGAGUAACCUGCCCAUGACUUUGGGAUAACUUCAGGAAACUGGGGCUAAUACCGGAUAGGAGCUCCUGCUGCAUGGUGGGGGUUGGAAAGUUUCGGCGGUUGGGGAUGGACUCGCGGCUUAUCAGCUUGUUGGUGGGGUAGUGGCUUACCAAGGCUUUGACGGGUAGCCGGCCUGAGAGGGUGACCGGCCACAUUGGGACUGAGAUACGGCCCAGACUCCUACGGGAGGCAGCAGUGGGGAAUAUUGCACAAUGGGUGGAAGCCUGAUGCAGCAACGCCGUGUGCGGGAUGACGGCCUUCGGGUUGUAAACCGCUUUCGCUCAUGACGAAGCUUUGUGUGACGGUAGUGGGUAAAGAAGCACCGGCUAACUACGUG
rnacentral:rRNA from 1 species